rnacentral:rRNA from 1 species
GAUGAACGCUGGCGGCGUGCCUAAUACAUGCAAGUCGAGCGAACAGACGAGGAGCUUGCUCCUCUGACGUUAGCGGCGGACGGGUGAGUAACACGUGGAUAACCUACCUAUAAGACUGGGAUAACUUCGGGAAACCGGAGCUAAUACCGGAUAAUAUAUUGAACCGCAUGGUUCAAUAGUGAAAGACGGUUUUGCUGUCACUUAUAGAUGGAUCCGCGCCGCAUUAGCUAGUUGGUAAGGUAACGGCUUACCAAGGCAACGAUGCGUAGCCGACCUGAGAGGUUGAUCGGCCACACUGGAACUGAGACACGGUCCAAACGCCUACGGGAGGCAGCAGUAGGGAAUCUUCCGCAAUGGGCGAAAGCUUGACGGAGCAACGCCGCGUGAGUGAUGAAGGUCUUCGGAUCGUAAAACUCUGUUAUUAGGGAAGAACAAAUGUGUAAGUAACUAUGCACGUCUUGACGGUACCUAAUCAGAAAGCCACGGCUAACUACGU